UACGUAGGGUGCAAGCGUUGUCCGGAAUUAUUGGGCGUAAAGAGCUCGUAGGCGGUUUGUCGCGUCUGCUGUGAAAACUCGGGGCUUAACCCUGGAAAGCGGGUGGAUACUGCCGGGCUAGAAUCCGGAAGAGGCGAGUGGAAUUCCUGGUGUAGCGGUGGAAUGCGCAGAUAUCAGGAGGAACACCAAUAGCGAAGGCAGCUCGCUGGGACGGUAUUGACGCUAAGGCGCGAAAGCGUGGGGAGCAAACAGG
rnacentral:rRNA from 1 species